CCUACGGGAGGCAGCUGUAGGGAAUCUUCCACAAUGGACGAAAGUNUGAUGGAGCAACGCCGCGUGAGUGAAGAAGGUUUUCGGAUCGUAAAACUCUGUUGUUGGAGAAGAAUGUAUNUGAUAGUAACUGAUCAGGUAGUGACGG
rnacentral:rRNA from 1 species